CAUUGCAUCAAAUAUAAUGCAUAAAAUUAGAAAAUGAUUUUAUACAUUCACAUAUGAUGCAUAUACUAAAAAAAAUGAAGUUAUUGUGAUUUUGAACGUUCUGUUCAGGUCCUUUGUUUUUUUAUCUUAUUAUAGUCAGCUGAUUGAUUAUGUGUGAAGUAUUUUGUUAUUAUAUUUAUACGUCACAUGCAUCAAAAAUCAUUUAGUGUUAAAUUAAGAUAACAUAU